GAUAAGCCACUUGAGGCUAUAACUCUAUGGGUCCGUGCACCCAUACUCUGUGAACCCUCAGGUUCUAACUCUGUGAACCUUCCGGUUCCAACUCUGGAAACAUGCCCAGCAUAAAUCACAUAGANCUCAAGGUAAAGUAUAGUGAGAAGACUCACCUGGCAAGCAGAAAGCAGAUAUCUCCAUACUUGAAUCUCGAACUCGCCACCGCCUAACACGUAAGGCAAAACUCUCAUGACUAUAACUCUUGAGACUAGAAUCAAUCCUCUCUCAAUGCACCCUCUUAAGGGUAAAAGACUAUUUUACCCCUCUCUUGGCCCAAAGGCCACAUCGCUGACCAAACCCUAAAAGUCAACGGUCAACCCUUGGUCAAAAUCAAAGUCCUCAGUCAAAGUCAACCCCUGACUGACCCUACUCGCCGAGUCAACCCUAUGACUCGCCGAGUUCCCAUAAUCAGAACUUCACUCAAUCUGCGACCUAACUCGCCAAGUCACCCCGAGACUCGCCGAGUCCAACAACUCUAAGUCCACUCACACACCACUCACCGAGUCAUCCAUUGACUCACCGAUUCUCGACUCAACCAGGGAAUAUCGGGACCCUUCGACAAGACUCGCUGAGUUCAAGAACAGACUCGCCGAGUCUAAGGCUGAGUUGUUCAUACAACUCGCCGAGUUCCAGGCCAUCUUCAUCCAACUCGUCGAGUACACCCAUGUGACUCGCCGAGUACCACCGGUCUGAAUCCAUUCAGAAGCAUUCCAGGCCAUGCAAUUGCUCCAAAACAUAGAUCUAGCCUCCUACCACUCAUCCAUCACGUAAAGUGGCAAACUUUACGUGAAUCCAAAGAGAUCUAGGCCAUUUGCACAUUGGGCUAGGGUUUGGGACAUGAAAGCUUCACUAAACACUCCAACACAGGGACUUUCAUGCUCUCUGAUUCUUCUCCCUUCCAGAUCUGAGGUAGCAACCUCAGAUCUAACCUCUAGACUUCCCAUUACAUCCAUAGACAAGUUCCCAUAAACCCCAAAAUGAAGAAACAACAUAACAACAGCCCAAGAACGAGAUAUUACCUCCAAGAGAUGCCCCAACUGCAAUGUAAUUCGAAUCCAAGCAAAGCCCCUUGCUCCAAGCCUUCAAUCUCCCAAAAUUCCUUCAACAAUUAUUUCUCCAAGCUCCAAUCCACUCAACAAUGGUGCUUCACCGCGAUUUAGGGUUUUCUGGGGCUCAAGGGGUGAUAAGGAGGCUGGGAGGAAAACAUCAUGUUCUUUCUAUAGGGCUCAACCCCGAGAAUUAGGGUUUUCUCCAAUCAGCGCCUACUCGUCGAGUCCUCCUCACUGACUCGCCGAGUCGGCUACUUAGCACGCGACCCAGUCGCGACUCUACUCGCCGAGUCCAUCCAUGGACUCGCCGAGUCACUCUUUCACAACUUACUCUUUUAGCCCUUCAACUCUACUCUUGAUAUUUCGGGAUGUUACAAUUCUCCCCCACUUAAAUUAGGCUUCGCCCUCGAAGCCUACGACAACUCAACUCCAAAAUACUCCCGCAACGCGCCACCUGGCUCUAACCCGGCCAGGUUCCUCAAAGCAUAACCAUAGAACUCGAACUCACUUCCUCUUUCCUUACGGUGUCCUGACCACCGUCUCAAACCGGGCACCGACUGUACCCUCUGAUAAUCACACUCAACAAUCGAGAAUUACACGAGAUGCACCACCGCUCCAAAUCUCAACAAUCGCUCGACCCAUAAGGGCUAGAAAGCCAUGAACCAUCGGAUCCCCGAUUCGAAUUCCACUCUAUCCAUUCCGCUGACAGAAAGACCCACUCUUCAAUCUCAGAGCAACUUCCAUGAGUUCUCCUCUCGCAAUCACACACACAUGCUACACCAACCUUCGCACACUCGGUUCAGGAAAACUCGUCACACUGAUGACAUCUCUAACAUCCCCAGGAGGAACCACCACUACGCACACAACCCUUGAUCAUAAUCAAGCUGGGAGUCCCAGACUCCAUCCCUGCAUUCAUCCUGAGACUCUUGGCUCUACACCCGCGGAAUUCCUUCUGCUUCCUCAGCAGACAUCCCAUCAUGAUGUCAUCCCAUACGACUGUCACAGACACAGUGUUCAACCAUCAUACUCCAAAUCAUCCACUCUCACUACUACUUUCACUUCCGUGAACCAACACUUCCCCCCCGGGGGUUACAUACCUUUCUCUUCCCUUGCCUAGGGAAAUCCCCUAGCCAACCUUGCCACUACUCCAUGUAUCACACAUGCUCUGGAUCUUCUCGCAAGGGCCCUCGGGUCCAUGCGCUACCUCCCCCCAACAAAUGAGGGUCCGACACCUCCUCCCACACAACAGCUCAAAGGGUGGCAUACUAAUGCACUAAUGAUGGCUAUUGAUAUAGGAUAACUCAACCAAAGAUAAAUACGUGCUGCAACUCCCUCCGAGAUCUAAUACACAUGCCCGACGCAUGUCUUCGAGCGUCUGAAUCGCUCGCUCGCUCUGAAGUGUCCUCAGACAUCAUCAUGAUAAGAUCUAGCUCACUUCUCAUAUCCCUCUUUGAGACUGAGCACCAGGUCAGCUUUUGACUCCACAGCUGAGCCUCCAAAGGUCACCCAUAUCAUGAUCCAAAUAACCCACUAACUUUCUCCCCGUGACCACUAUCCCGACCCAGGGACGCGCAAGUCACAAAAUUCUCUUUUCCUCAUGCGAGAAAAUACAACCCAACCGAGGAUUGCCUCAACUCUNGCCUCAACUUUGAUCUCUGGUUUCUGCUGCGCAUAUCCCUUGCGCAUCUCGCCUCAUCUCCCGACAGAGACGGAGACCCCAGUCUCGCCCCCGGUUCAGCACUCAGGCUCCAGAACUCAAUACUAGGGCUACUCAAGCCCAAAACUCUUCCACAUCAUACACUGGUCGGAGAUCAUUCCAUCAUCACAUCCUCUUGCCAUCUAGUGAGUACUACGGCUCCCCGCAGUAUCACAACACCCUCUAACUAGUGAGUACUACGGCUCCCCGCAGUAUCACAACACCCUCUGACUAGUGAGUACUACGGCUCCCCGCAGUAUCACAACACCCUCUGACUAGUGAGUACUACGGCUCCCCGCAGUAUCACAACACCCUCUGACUAGUGAGUACUACGGCUCCCCGCAGUAUCACAACACCCUCUGACUAGUGAGUACUAUGGCUCCCCGCAGUAUCACAACACCCUCUGACUCCACUAGCUCAUGCUCCGCAGACUAUCACAGGCAGCUACCCAUACUCGACUCGAAUACACAUUCUAGACUCUGGAAGCAAUCGACAUCUCAAAAUGCCCACCCUUGCGAAGAUCCAUUCUCUUAAUAAUCUCCCUGGAUGCCCAUACUCGAAGGGCUCCCACUAGAUCCGUAGAUACCUGAUACACCACAAGUCGUGUCAACUCAAGAUUCACGAGUAACUCCGAGAUAAAGGUAUCAUACCCGGAUACCUCGGAAUAUCCCAACAAAACAUCACAAGAUCUUGCCACAACCACUGAUUCCCUUACUCCCAACACCAUACACUCACGACGAUACAUUUCCUCUGAAUCCCAUAAAAUUUCUGAUAUCACACGAUGCGCAACUUCAGUGCAUCCAACACUCAAUUGGAAUACAAGGAAGGCGCUAACCCUAUAGAACACACUGAUGAUCCUUCGAAACCCUUUCCACUACUACUCAAAAUUCAAGCAAGAAUACACAUCCUAGCCCGGGAAUUGGCUACUCGAUAAACUACUACCCAUAUCUCAACCCAUAAGUUCUCAACUGCCCAUACCAUCAUUACGAGCCUUCCACUCGAGACGACUCUGACCACCAUCAGAUUCCUGAUCAUUGACCACCCGCCGUGGAGACACCCAUCCUUCUCUUAGACAUAUAUCACAUGCAUUAUCUCGCCCUGCACCUUUCCUUAAUCACCAAUGACCCUGAUCUCAUGAAUUCAAGCCGCAGGUUCUGCAUCCAACCCCUAACCGCUNACCCUGAUCUCUUGAAUUCAAGCUGCAGGUUUUGCAUCCAACCCCUAACCGCUCUUGCACAAAUCUCUGGUUCUCUCAAUAAACCACCCGGUUCUCCCCCACUUAGGGUUCGAACCAUCACUAUCUGACACAUCAACAACCUCACGAACUAUUUUCACCAGCAAUAACGCACCUGCCCCUGGAAAGUGCUACGCAACGCCCGAUAAUCCCCUUUAAGGAAAUCAAUCGAUCUCAUAACUCUGAACCUCAGAUGAAAUCCUCAAGAACUUCUCGUCACGACUGCCUCUAGUCGUUCCAAGUCUCGUACCAAUCCAAUACCAAACAACUCAACUGUCCAAUAACAUCACUGACUCAUAGACUGGACCACGAAAUCAUCAUACUCCCCCACCUCGACUCAUCAACCGACGUUCCAACACAUGGAUCAUCCCAAGAACAGGGACCCACUCCCAUAUUCAAUACCCAACAUAGAUAGAAAAACCACUGCACUGAUUAACUCGACUGGACUCCCCACUGAUACCUCUACAAUACGCCCUACUAUACUCAAAUAGGCGUAACGUGGUCCUUGACUAUCUCAGUCCCAACUGACUAUCUGCUCAUGGUAAAUCACUGUCUCGCAGCACACAUGCUACCUGAUACUCUGGUGGGAAAUCAUCAUCAAUGACAACCUGCAGGGUUUUACCCCUAAACCCGAAACAUAAACAUCAGGCCUCUCAUGUCCCGCACACGAACAUAAAUAGCACCACUCACAUAGAAGGUGGCAUCUCCUCUAUCGAUUGAUUGCUCAUCUCAUACCAAAAUUCUCCCCUCCCUCUAACUCCUUACCAAAAUACUCUGAUAUGCUCUCGACCUCCCUCUCAAGGGACACCUCUUCGAACUCAAUCAUGGCCCACAGGCCUAAAACCCAUAGCGUCCAAUCUCUACCUCAUCAAUCGUGACCGGAUAACCGGAGAACCACAAGCAUCAUUCACUACGAACCAUGGUACUCAUCCCAUGACAUCUCUUCUCAAUAUGCUCCGGUGUAUGGUACCCGAACCAUAGCAUCACUCCUCCAUCUGCUCCGAUGUAUGAUACUCGAACCAUAACAUCACUCCUCAAUCUGUUCUGAUGUAUGGUACUCGAACCAUACAUCACUCCUUAAUGCGCUCAUUAGAAUCUUCAGAAUACUCCCUGUAUCAAGUAUGGGUCCUCUGCUUUCAGUAGUACGGGCCCAUACUACCUUCCACAUCUACCCAUACUUUCCACACGGACUAUCCCGGAGCUCCUAAGUAGCUGCUCGACCUUCUCGUUCACCAAUUCCAUCGCGCGCUCGCUCCCCAGCGAAAUUCUCUACCCUGCCAGUGCACUCAUCUGGCUAAGGUUACUCCCUAGGCUCUUCUUAGAUUCCCACACUUCUCUGCCAUCAGCUGCUGAAGAGCUCCUAAUGAUGCCAGCCAUCUACCUCCUGAAUAUCGUCAUAUUCGCUUGGUAGCUGACUCCCAUCAUCGAGAGUUCCACAAAGCACAAAGCAAGCAGCAUUCGAGCAUCGAAGAAUUCAUCUGACUCACUCUGGGUGAUAGCUCCGCUUGCUCUGCUCAUCCUCGGAAGUACCACCGAACUCUGCAACUCUUCCUCUCGCGGCUCUAACUACUCUUCCUCUAAGUACCACAGUACUCAUCUAGGUAUCUUCCCUAGCUUACUCCUUUACCCAAAUCCCCUAAAGGAUUUCUCUAAAUAUUCUCACUCAUCUCAUACUCAAAAGCACAUCGCAUAUCACAGCAAUUCCUAGGCUAAGGAAUCACAAAUCAGGCCACUCUAGUUCUAAGAUAUGGAUUACCUAGCCUGUCUCUAGCAUGCAAUAAUAUCUCAUGAAGUGCAUCAUAAAUAUCUCGUAACACAAAAGUAAGGGUAUUUUGGGAAAUCACCGUUCGGGCUCUGGCUGAUUGUACACACUGCUCUUUCUUGUUUUCUCUUUGAACUCUUAUUCGCUUUAGAAAAUUAUUUCUUUGAAAACUUUUCUUACUUCCUCAGUUUGAGUCCAGAAUUACCCGAAGGCGCAUCCGAAUCCCUCAAACCAAGGCUCUGAUACCAACUUGUAACACCGUAAAUUUCAAGACAAAUUUUUCAUUUAAAAUAAUCAUUUUAUUCUUAGAACACUUGUUUAAAAUCUCAUUCAUAAUCGAAUUACAAAACAUAGCUUCAUUUUCACUUGCAUAGAAAACCAGGAUCCUCCAAAAUAUGACUUUUUCUCUGGUGUGUACAAUCCAGUCGGUGCCGUCCCGUGAUACUGAAAGAAACCUGAAAACAACAUAACACAAAACACUGUAAGCACGAAGCUUAGUGAGUUCCCCAAAAUACCACACACAUAACACAUAUAAGCCACUCGAGGCUAUAACUCUAUGGGUCCGUGCACCCAAACUCUGUGAACCCUCAGGUUCUAACUCUGUGAACCUUCCGGUUCUAACUCUAGGAACCCUUCGGUUCCAACUCUGCAAACAUGCACAGCAUAAAUCACAUAGAAAUAAUGCAGUACAACACAUAACAUACAUAGCAUACAAAUACUCUGUCACAUAACU
rnacentral:lncRNA from 1 species